rnacentral:rRNA from 1 species
AUGGCGGCGGCGCUUCGACACGUGGUGAGGAGGCUCAUGGCUGAGGAGCGACGCCAGCUCUUCUCCCGAAGCCGACUUUUUCACACCCAUGGGCCGCGCAAGAUCAACGACGGGCUAUAUAGGGUGGAGCAGAAGAAAGCAGAGUUGUAUGAUUUGUUACCGAAGGCGAAGACGAAUCCCGAGGCUAUUGAUGAGCAUGACAUGCAGCUACUCAAACUAAUUCCCCAUUUUCGACGACAACUCGUUCCAGAAGUAGAUGACAUUCUCUGGCAGAGGGAGCGGUUUGUUACAAGGGUUAACAGUGUGCUCGAAGGAAUUGCCAGGACGGCAUUCUACAUUUGUAUUACUGCUUUGGCAUAUGGCAUCACCACCGACAAGGGGGUAAAAGACCAGACCAUUGACGAGGGAAGCCAGUGA